AGCUUUGUAUCAAACUUCUUUUUAUCAUAAUAAAAGGAUCUUCUUUUGCUCUUCAACUUUGACUUCUGUGUGUUUGCAUAUCUUCCUUCUUUGUCUGUUUACUUGUCUUUCUAUAAAAUGACUAAGUAAAAUAGUUGGUAAGAUAGUUGAUAGAAACUUGCAAACCUAUAACUAAGUAAAUUAUAACCAAGUAGAUAGACUUAAAAAAUUUUCUAAAUCAAGUAGUC
rnacentral:lncRNA from 1 species